GGUGGCUCAAUGGUAGAGUGCUUGCCUUGCAUGCAUGAGGCCCUGGGUUCAAUUCCUCAGCACCA
rfam:Dipodomys ordii contig_30280, whole genome shotgun sequence.